UACUUACACGAGUCCGAUAGCAAACAAGUACCGUGAGGGAAAGUUGAAAAGUACUUUGAAGAGAGAGUAAACAGUGCGUGAAACCGUUCAAAGGUAAACAGGUGGAGUUGAACUGCAAGCUCUGGGAAUUCAACUGAUGAGUGUGAUUUGUGCUUGGGCAUACUGGCCGCCUUCAGUGUCUGUUUAAUUGCAGGUGCCUGCCUUUUUGGUGGGUAUGUGUGAAUCGUUUGCAUACGACGCACGCACUGUUGGUGUGAGGGUCUGCUUGUCAGUGCACUUUCUCAGGGUGUUCACCACGACCGGCACUGCUGCCUGUCUGCUAUGGCCAAACUGAUCAGGUCUGAUUUUUGUCAGUCUUGGUUGGGUCGGCAGGUGACUCUUUGGCUCAUCUAUGGGCUGUGAGUGUUACUAGCUGGCUGUAGUGGAGCUGUGCGGUGUGUUGGAGAUGGCGGCUUCGCAUGCGUGCCUAGACCUUCGGGCAUUGUUGAGUCUGGUCGGCUCGUUACUAGCUUCGGCUGGUCGGCCGAUGGCUUGAUUUUGUCACGUAGGCGGUUGCGUGUGUGGUUUGCAUUGGGCCAAUAGUCUGUGGUGUAGUGGUAGACGAUCCACCUGACCCGUCUUGAAACACGGACCAAGGAGUUUAACAUGUGCGCGAGUCAUUGGGUGUUACGAAACCCAAAGGCGAAGUGAAGGUAAAGGUUCGGCUUGUCCGGACUGAGGUGAGAUCCUGUUGUCUUGCUCAUACUUUCCAAGUUGCGAGCAGCGGGCGCAUCACCGGCCCGUCCCAUGACGUAGACAUGUGACCUCGUGUUGUGUGCACCGUCGGGGCGGAGCAAGAGCGUACACGUUGAGACCCGAAAGAUGGUGAACUAUGCUUGUGAAGGUUGAAGCCAGAGGAAACUCUGGUGGAGGACCGUAG
rnacentral:rRNA from 1 species